rnacentral:rRNA from 1 species
UACGUAGGUGGCGAGCGUUGUCCGGAAUUACUGGGCGUAAAGGGCGCGUAGGCGGUUUUUUAAGUUAGAUGUGAAAACCCAGGGCUUAACUUUGGGCGUGCAUUUAAAACUGGAGAACUUGAGUGCAGGAGAGGUAAGUGGAAUUCCUAGUGUAGCGGUGAAAUGCGUAGAUAUUAGGAGGAACACCAGUGGCGAAGGCGACUUACUGGACUGUAACUGACGCUGAGGCGCGAAAGCGUGGGGAGCAAACAGGAUUAGAUACC